rnacentral:lncRNA from 1 species
GGUCCUUUCAGGUUUAAGUCAAUAUCAGGCAUGGAGAUCUUGGGGGCUUUGAUAUUCAUCUCUGGCAUCUUGAACUUAGGCCCUUUCAACUUUCCCUCUGGGCCUUCAAUGUCCACUUUGGGUCCUGAGACAUCAAUGUCAGCCUUGGGCAGCUUCACAUCCCCAUCUGGGCCCUCUCCUUUGAAGCCAGGCAUGCUGAACUUUGGCAUUUUCACCUUGGGCAUCUUCAGGUGCCAGUCUGGGCCUUGAACCUCCACAUCUGGGGCAUCAAUGUCCAUUUUGGGUCCUUUGAUUUCAACAUCUGGCACUUUCAUUUCACCUUCUAC